UACCGAGACGAGAGACGCCCCCCAUCGAGGGAGGGGAAUACAGGCAUGCUGUUUUACAGGCAAAAAGGAAUGAGUAAUAAAUAGACAUAGAAAGGAAGGGGGAGAGAGAAAGAGAAAGAGUGAGAAAGAGAGAGGGAGGGAAGGAUAUAGAGAAAUGAACAAAGGACCACCCUAUUCCAUUAGUCUUCCUUACAGUAGGGUGCACUCUGAUGUUGAGUGGUUGUCUAUAAGGACCUGAGCCCUAGGACCAUGCCUCAGAACUACCUGGCCUGAUGACUCCUUGCUGUCCCCAGUCCACUUGGUCGUGCUGCUGCUCCAGUUUCAACUGUUCUGCCUGUGGCUAUGGAACCCUGACCUGUUCACCGGACGUGCUACCUUGUCCCAGACCUGCUAUUUUCAACUCUCUAGAGACAGCAGGUGCGGUAGAGAAACUGAAUGAUCGGAUAUGAAAAGCCAACUGACAUUUACUCCUGAGGUGCUGACUUGUUGCACCCUCUACAACCACUCAGAGUAUUAUUAUCUGACCCUGCUGGUCAUCUAUGAACAUUUUAACAUCUUGGCCAUGUUCUGUUAUAAUCUCCACCAGGCACAGCCAGAAGAGGACUGCCCACUCAUAGCCUCUCUAGGUUUCUUCGUAGGUUCUGGCCUUUCUAGGGAGUUUUUCCUAGCCACCAUGCUUCUACACCUGCAUUGCUUGCUGUUUGGGGUUUUAGGCUGGGUUUCUGAGUGCUACGAGUGCUACGGGGUGGUAGUCAUAGUUCAGUUAUCUUUUCCUUCUUGGGUACAGGAACAAUGGUAGCCAUCUUGAAGCAUGUGGGGACAACAGACUGGGAUAGGGAGCGAUUGAAUAUGUCCGUAAACACACCAGCCAGCUGGUCUGCGCAUGCUUUGAGGACGCGAUUAGGGAUGCCGUCUGGGCCAGCAGCCUUACGAGGGUUAACAUGUUUAAAUGUUUUACUCACGUC
rnacentral:lncRNA from 1 species